UGGCGGCGUGCUUAAUACAUGCAAGUCGAACGAGGNNUAUCCGGUUGAAAGAUCGGAGAAGGUCUAGUGGCGAACGGGUGAGUAACACGUGAGCAACCUGCCCNNGAAGACUGGGAUAACAGUGGGAAACCGCUGCUAAUACCGGAUACCCCCACCGAGUCUCAUGGCUUGGUGAGGAAAUGGACUCCGCUUCGGGAGGGGCUCGCGGCCUAUCAGCUUGUUGGUGGGGUAACGGCCUACCAAGGCGACGACGGGUAGCUGGUCUGAGAGGACGAUCAGCCACACUGGGACUGAGACACGGCCCAGACUCCUACGGGAGGCAGCAGUAGGGAAUCUUGCGCAAUGGGCGAAAGCCUGACGCAGCAACGCCGCGUGAGGGAUGGAGGCCUUCGGGUUGUAAACCUCUUUCAGCAGGGACGAUUGUGACGGUACCUGCAGAAGAAGCCCCGGCCAACUACGUGCCAGCAGCCGCGGUAAUACGUAGGGGGCGAGCGUUGUCCGGAAUCAUUGGGCGUAAAGAGCUCGUAGGCGGUUUGGUAAGUCGGGUGUGAAACCUCCAGGCUCAACCUGGUGAUGCCACUCGAUACUGCCAUGACUAGAGUCCGGUAGGGGUCCACGGAAUUCCUGGUGUAGCGGUGAAAUGCGCAGAUAUCAGGAGGAACACCGGUGGCGAAGGCGGUGGGCUGGGCCGGAACUGACGCUGAGGAGCGAAAGCGUGGGGAGCGAACAGGAUUAGAUACCCUGGUAGUCCACGCCGUAAACGUUGGGCACUAGGUGUGGGACCUUAUCAACGGGUUCCGUGCCGUAGCUAACGCAUUAAGUGCCCCGCCUGGGGAGUACGGCCGCAAGGCUAAAACUCAAAGAAUUGACGG
rnacentral:rRNA from 1 species